GGCUGCACAAAAGGUUCAUUCAUGACAAAGAGCUUGUGUUGGAGAUACUGAUAAUGCUAAAUUGAGAGUUUUUUUUUUUUUUUACAGCAGCAACUUUUUUUUUUUUUUUUUGCUUGUGUUGGAGAUACUGAUAAUGCUAAAUUGAGAGUUCUUUAUUUUUUUUUGUUUUGGGGGGGGAAGCAAUAGAACAACUCAAAGAAAGAUGAUACCGAAUGGACAUUAGGACAAAUUGGAAACAGCACCAAAGAAGAGGUUACUGCACAAUCAGCUUUAGCAUUAUUGCAAGGCUUCUUCACUUAAGCAAAUGAUGAGGUAUCACUUGCAUAGAAAAUUAGAAAUAGAGUUAAGAUAACAUCGCCAGGCCCAGUAAAAGCAACAAAUACUCAAAAUGAUAUGAAAUACACUACUCAAAAAGCAUCUUGACCAUUACUAUGUCCAGGUGGGUUAAAAUCAGCCCUAAUCUCAGUGAUAAUGAUCCAUAGAGGCCCAGCCAACAGUCAGCUGUGUGCGAUGCCAGAGCGAUCCUCUAGCUGCAGGCAUGAAAAUGAACUAGAAACUUUUUGCCAUGUCCCUGAAACUACAUCUCCAUAAAAAGUAGCAUUGUUUCUAGUUUCAGUCUAGCAAAACUCUACUCUGAAAACAAGCGUCAAAACUAUGGAGAUUCAUUCCUAGCAAUUUUGAUCAAUUAGAUUAAGCAGAUGAAUAUGCCAAUUUCUGGUGGUAUACAUAGUCUUAUGCACUGCAAGUAUAUAUCUACAGAAAACUCUAUUAAUAAGCCAGAGCAAUAAAGUUAUUUGCAGCAGCAAAUUGGUUAUUGAGCCAGCCAAUAAGAGAUGGCAAAGUUGAAUUCCCCCAGAUAAAGAUUUAUCAUGGAAUUCAAUAGCAAAAACGUUGGGGGUGGUGGGGGGGCGCAAAAAAAAAACACAUUCCAGUGAUAUCCUUGUAAAAACAAACAAUCAAAAAAAUUAAUUUUGACCAAGGAUCUUGAAGCAAGAACAAUAAUCAAAUAAAGAAAAAACUUAGUUUCGUUCAUACCAAGACAACUUCAGAGAGGAUAAGGACUUGCAUAUCUUCAAAUUGUGCUGGAAAUUAGAAAACCCAAAAAUAUCCUCACAAAAUACAGCAAAUAUUUGUUCAGCAUUCACAAAAUCGAAUUGAAAACGAAACACAGCCAAACGAACCAGCUCCAACAAUUUCAACACCGUUAUUACACAUUAACUGAGAUUUGAUUAUCCACAUGAAAGCCCUAAACGACAUAUAAAACGCAGCGUUUUUUUGUUGUUGUAAGAAAAGAAAAGAGGUAAAAGGAAUUGAUUAAUAUAACAAUUCAGAUACCAAAGGAAGGGCAGGCGAUGGAUCAAACGAUGUCGUCGGGAGCGUGGGAGUUGCUGGUGAGCGUAAGAGGGCGAUCCUUCGCCUCAUCCUCCUCGUCGUCGUCGGGAUCGGUUGUAGUGAGAUUGACGCAAGAGCAUCGUUCGAGGGACGCGAAGAAGGCGGAGACUACAGUGGCGCUCACCCAGCUUGCCACGUUGCCCAAGCUGUCUCGCGAUAUUAUGCUGUUACUGGGGUUGUUAUCUUCCAUUACGAAUUAGAUUUUAGAAUUUUGUGAGAUAUGAAAAUGAAAAUUGGGUAUUUGCUUUUUGAUUUGGGAUUUGGAUGAAUUGUUUGGAAUUGCGGAUAAAAUAAGAACGGACCCAAUUGUCAGAGACUUGGAAUUAGACCCUGAGAUUUGAGAUUUCAUUAUUUAUAUAUAUAUAUAGAUUUUAGGUAACUCUCCC
rnacentral:lncRNA from 1 species